rnacentral:rRNA from 1 species
GUCUAUGGCCACACCACCCUGAACAUGCCCGAUCUCGUCUGAUCUUGGGAGCUAAGCAGGGUCGGGCCUGGUUAGUACUUGGAUGGGAGACCACCUGGGAAUACCGGGUGCUGUAGGCG